CAUGCACACACACAAGCACACACAGCACCCAGAGUUGCAAGCCUCUUAAAAUAUUUCUUUGUUCAAACAGACUUCUUAAAAGACAGAAAAAAGAGGAGAACUGAAGAAGAAAAGGGGAAGAAAGACUACUAUUGAGAGGAAGGAAUGCGCAGUCGUAUUGCCGGGUUAAGUCCCAGGGCCGUGAGGAGCAGACAGGUGUCGGAAUGGAGCAUGGCGAGAGUUGGACCCAUCAUACACAUCACUCAGCUAGCCAAGGUAGAAGCUCAAACAGCAGAGCGGGGGCAGUUUUACGCAUCAUGGCAAAGACGGGGCAUCCCUGGAAGUGAAUGAGCUUGCACCUGGCGAAAAUCCACCACCUGCUACUGCAUCUCUGGUCUUCCCAUGAUGUUGGAAUCCACACUGCUAACACACUAGCCUCACAAAGCAUCAAAACGCCAUAUUUCUAGGGAGCCAAAGCGGAUAAGAAAUGAGGAGUCUUUGAACUGUCUGGAUGUUUCAAGCCCCUUCUUCUCCUCUCCAUCUAUGAGCCCCCCUGCUGCUUAGUUGGGACAGGGAGAAAGGGGCUGAUCGAUGGGGCCUGACAGCAAUGAAAUGAAUGGAACCAGCUGAUUGACUCAUUAGUGGAGGAGUGAGGGGAUGUGAGCUCUG